GACGAACCGUCCGAACGUUAUUCGGAAUUACUGGGCUUAAAGGGCGCGUAGGCGGCGCGGUAAGUCGGGUGUGAAAUCCCUCGGCUCAACCGAGGAAUGGCGCUCGAAACUACCGUGCUCGAGGAAGGCAGAGGUGAGCGGAACUCAGGGUGGAGCGGUGAAAUGCGUUGAUAUCCUGAGGAACACCGGUGGCGAAAGCGGCUCACUGGGCCUUUUCUGACGCUGAUGCACGAAAGCUAGGGGAGCAAACGGG
rnacentral:rRNA from 1 species